CAGGCNGCAACCCGCCUGCAUGAAGUCGGAAUUGCUAGUAAUCGCGGAUCAGCACGCCGCGGUGAAUACGUUCCCGGGCCUUGUACACACCGCCCGUCACACCAUGGGAGCCGGUAAUACCCGAAGUCAGUAGUCCAACCACGUGAGGACGCUGCCGAAGGUAGGAUUGGCGACUGGGGUGAAGUCGUAACAAGGUACC
rnacentral:rRNA from 1 species